rnacentral:rRNA from 1 species
AGCGAACGCUGGCGGCAGGCCUAACACAUGCAAGUCGAGCGGCCGUAGCAAUACGGCAGCGGCAGACGGGAGAGUAACACGUGGGAACGCGCCCUUCGGUUCGGGAUAACUCAGGGAAACUUGGGCUAAUACCGGAUACGCCCUUACGGGGAAAGAUUUAUUGCCGAAGGAACGGCCCGCGUCCGAUUAGCUUGUUGGUGAGGUAACGGCUCACCAAGGCGACGAUCGGUAGCUGGUCUGAGAGGAUGACCAGCCUCACUGGGACUGAGACACGGCCCAGACUCCUACGGGAGGCAGCAGUGGGGAAUAUUGGACAAUGGGCGCAAGCCUGAUCCAGCCAUGCCGCGUGGGUGAUGAAGGCCCUAGGGUUGUAAAGCCCUUUCAGCGGGGAAGAUAAUGACGGUAACCGGAGAAGAAGCCCCGGCUAACUUCGUGCCAGCCGCCGCCGUAAGAC